GUCCUCCUGUGCUCAGUCGGUAGAGCAUGAGACUCUUAAUCUCAGGGUCGUGGGUUCGUGCCCCGCGUUGGGCG
rfam:Erinaceus europaeus unplaced genomic scaffold scaffold00236, whole genome shotgun sequence